UACGUAGGGUGCAAGCGUUAAUCGGAAUUACUGGGCGUAAAGCGUGCGCAGGCGGUUAUGUAAGACAGGUGGGAAAUCCCCGGGCUUAACCUGGGAACUGCAUUUGUGACUGCAUAGCUAGAGUACGGUAGAGGGGGAUGGAAUUCCGCGUGUAGCAGUGAAAUGCGUAGAGAUGCGGAGGAACACCGAUGGCGAAGGCAGCCCCCUGGGCUAGCACUGACGCUCAGGCACGAAAGCGUGGGGAGCAAACAGG
rnacentral:rRNA from 1 species